rnacentral:rRNA from 1 species
UAGUUUAUCCUGCUAGAGGCUGCAGCUAUUCGGAUUCUGUUAAGCCAUGCAAGUUUUUCGCGAGAAAGCGAACUGCUCAGCAACACGUAGUUAAUCUGCCCUAAGAUUGAGAAUACCCUCGGGAAACUAAGGACAAGGCUCAAUAGAAAAUUGAUUCUGGAAUGAACUUUUUUUGAAACGUAAGGUCUUAGGAUGAGACCGCGGCUGAUUAGGUUGUUGUUGAGGUAACUACUCAACAAGCCGAUGAUCAGUAAGGGCCCUUAACGGGGGCGCCCUGAGAGGGAAUCUGAGACACUAUUCCCAGCUCCAUGGAGUGCAGCAGGCGAGUAAAUUUUCCAAUGCCCGCAAGGGUGAGAAAGGAAUCCGAAGUGCUUUCAUUUUUAAUGAAAGCUUUUCUCCACUGUAAAAAGUUGGAGGAAUAAGGACUGGGCAAGACUGGUGCCAGCCGCCGCGGUAAUCCCAGCAGUCCGAGUUGUGGCCGCAUUUAUUAGGUCUAAAACAUCCGUAGCUUGUUUUGCAAGUUCCUUGUGAAAUCUUAUCGCUCAACGGUAAGGCGUGCAAGGAAUACUGCAUUACUAGAGACCGGGAGACGUAACGAGUACGUUCGGGGUAGCGGUUAAAUGUUUUAAUCCCGAACGGACUAACAAUGGCGAAGGCACGUUACGAGAACGGAUCUGACGGUGAGGGAUGAAGGCCAGGGUCGCGAAAUGGAUUAGAUACCCAUGUAGUCCUGGCAGUAAACGCUGCUUACUAAACAUUGUGUUCUCCUCGAGAGAAUGCAGUGCUGAAGUGAAGACGGAAGUAAGCUACCUGGGGAUUAUAGCCGCAAGGCCGAAACUUAAAGGAAUUGGCGGGGGGGCACUACAAGGGGUGACGCGUGCGGUUCAAUUAGAUUCCACACCGUGAACCUCACCAGGAGCGACAGCAGGAUGAAGGUCAGUCUAAAGGGCUUACCUAACACGCUGAGAGGAGGUGCAUGGCCGUCGUCAGCUUGUGCCGAGAGGUGCCCUGUUAAAUCAGGUAACAAGCGAGACCUGCGUGUACAAUUGCUACUUGGUAAAAGAGCACAUUGUACAGACCGCUCCCGUAAGGGAGAGGAAGGUGCAGUCAACGAUAGGUGAGUACGCCCCGAAUCCCCUGGGCUACACGCGCGCGGCAAUGCUACGCACAAUGAGAAGCAACUCCGAAAGGAGAAGCAAAUCCCUUAAAACGUAGCUCAGUUCAGAUUGAGGUUUGUAAUUCAACCUCAUAACGCUGGAAUCCCUAGUAAUCGUUCUUUAGCAGAGAACGGUGAAUAAGUCCCUGCUCCUUGCACACACUGCCCAUCAAACUAUCCGAGUUAUGUUUGGAUGAGGCUCGAAAGGAACGAAUCUAGAUAUAACAAGGAAGGUUAAGUUGUCACAAGGUA